UACGGGGGGAGCAAGCGUUGUUCGGAUUUACUGGGCGUAAAGGGCGCGUAGGCGGUCAGCACAAGUCAGUUGUGAAAUCUCCGAGCUUAACUCGGAAAGGUCAACUGAUACUGUGCGACUAGAGUGCGGAAGGGGCAACUGGAAUUCUUGGUGUAGCAGUGAAAUGCGUAGAUAUCAAGAGGAACACCUGCGGCGAAGGCGGGUUGCUGGGCCGACACUGACGCUGAGGCGCGAAAGCUAGGGGAGCGAACGGG
rnacentral:rRNA from 1 species